AGGAAAUAGAUACCCGGGUAGUCCACGCCCUAAACGAUGUCAACUAGUUGUUGGGGGAGUAAAAUCCCUUAGUAACGCAGCUAAACGCGUGAAAGUUGACCGCCUGGGGAGUACGGUCGCAAGAUUAAAACUCAAAGGAAUUGACGGGGCCCGCACAAGCGGUGGAUUAUGUGGAUUAAUUCGAUGCAACGCGAAAAACCUUACCUGGCCUUGACAUGCCACUAACGAAGCAGAGAUGCAUUAGGUGCCCGAAAGGGAAAGUGGACACAGGUGCUGCAUGGCUGUCGUCAGCUCGUGUCGUGAGAUGUUGGGUUAAGUCCCGCAACGAGCGCAACCCUUGCCAAUAAUUGCCAUCAUUCAGUUGGGCACUUUAUUGGGACUGCCGGUGACAAACCGGAGGAAGGUGGGGAUGACGUCAAGUCCUCAUGGCCCUUAUGGCCAGGGCUUCACACGUAAUACAAUGGUCGGUACAGAGGGUUGCCAACCCGCGAGGGGGAGCCAAUCCCAGAAAGCCGAUCGUAGUCCGGAUUGUAGUCUGCAACUCGACUAC
rnacentral:rRNA from 1 species